GGCUGAGACCUGAUGCCGAGCCGAUUGUGGUGAAGUGGAUGAUCCUAUGCUGUCGAGAAAAGCCUCUAGCGAGUUUCAUGGCGGCCCGUACCCUAAACCGACUCAGGUGGUCAGGUAGAGAAUACCGAGGCGUUCGGGUGAACUAUGGUUAAGGAACUCGGCAAAAUGCCCCCGUAACUUCGGGAGAAGGGGGGCCACAUCCGGUGAGAGGAUUUACUCCUUGAGCUGGGGGUGGCCGCAGAGACCAGCGAGAAGCGACUGUUUACUAAAAACACAGGUCCGUGCGAAGCCGUAAGGCGAUGUAUACGGACUGACGCCUGCCCGGUGCUGGAACGUUAAGGGGACCGGUUAGUCGAGAUUCGUCUCGGCGAAGCUGAGAACUUAAGCGCCAGUAAACGGCGGUGGUAACUAUAACCAUCCUAAGGUAGCGAAAUUCCUUGUCGGGUAAGUUCCGACCUGCACGAAUGGCGUAACGACUUCUCGACUGUCUCAACCAUAGGCCCGGUGAAAUUGCACUACGAGUAAAGAUGCUCGUUUCGCGCAGCAGGACGGAAAGACCCCGGGACCUUUACUACAGUUUGAUAUUGGUGUUCGGUUCGGCUUGUGUAGGAUAGCUGGGAGACUUUGAUCAUCGGACGCCAGUUCGGUGUGAGUCGUCGUUGAAAUACCAGUCUGGUCGUGCUGGAUGUCUAACCUGGGUCCGUGAUCCGGAUCAGGGACAGUGUCUGAUGGGUAGUUUAACUGGGGCGGUUGCCUCCUAAAGAGUAACGGAGGCGCCCAAAGGUUCCCUCAGCCUGGUUGGUAAUCAGGUGUUGAGUGUAAGUGCACAAGGGAGCUUGACUGUGAGACCGACGGGUCGAGCAGGGACGAAAGUCGGGACUAGUGAUCCGGCGGUGGCUUGUGGAAGCGCCGUCGCUCAACGGAUAAAAGGUACCCCGGGGAUAACAGGCUGAUCUUCCCCAAGAGUCCAUAUCGACGGGAUGGUUUGGCACCUCGAUGUCGGCUCGUCGCAUCCUGGGGCUGGAGUCGGUCCCAAGGGUUGGGCUGUUCGCCCAUUAAAGCGGUACGCGAGCUGGGUUUAGAACGUCGUGAGACAGUUCGGUCCCUAUCCGCUGUGCGCGUAGGAGUCUUGAGAAGGGCUGUCCCUAGUACGAGAGGACCGGGACGGACGAACCUCUGGUGUGCCAGUUGUCCUGCCAAGGGCAUGGCUGGUUGGCUACGUUCGGGAGGGAUAACCGCUGAAAGCAUCUAAGCGGGAAGCCUGCUUCGAGAUGAGGACUCCCACCCACUUGAUGGGUUAAGGCUCCCAGUAGACGACUGGGUUGAUAGGCCGGAUCUGGAAGCACGGUAACGUGUGGAGGUGACCGGUACUAAUAGGCCGAGGGCUUGUCCUC
rnacentral:rRNA from 1 species